GACGAACGCUGGCGGCGUGCCUAAUACAUGCAAGUCGAGCGCAGGAAACUGACGGAACUCUUCGGAGGGAAGGCAGCGGAAUGAGCGGCGGACGGGUGAGUAACACGUAAGGAACCUGCCUCAAGGAUUGGGAUAACUCCGAGAAAUCGGAGCUAAUACCGGAUAGUUCAACGGACCGCAUGGUCCGCUGAUGAAAGGCGCUUCGGCGUCACCUUGAGAUGGCCUUGCGGUGCAUUAGCUAGUUGGUGGGGUAACGGCCCACCAAGGCGACGAUGCAUAGCCGACCUGAGAGGGUGAUCGGCCACACUGGGACUGAGACACGGCCCAGACUCCUACGGGAGGCAGCAGUAGGGAAUCUUCCACAAUGGACGAAAGUCUGAUGGAGCAACGCCGCGUGAGUGAUGAAGGUUUUCGGAUCGUAAAACUCUGUUGUAAGGGAAGAACACGUACGAGAGGGAAUGCUCGUACCUUGACGGUACCUUACGAGAAAGCCACGGCUAACUACGUGCCAGCAGCCGCCGUAAAAC
rnacentral:rRNA from 1 species